CUUGGCGGAGCCCAGCAACAGGGGUUCGCCCGCCGGGCGCCCGCGGCCGUAGGUGGCGAACAGCGCCUGGGCCUC
rnacentral:antisense_RNA from 1 species